rnacentral:rRNA from 1 species
UACAGAGGUCUCAAGCGUUGUUCGGAUUCAUUGGGCGUAAAGGGUGCGUAGGCGGCGCGGUAAGUCGGGUGUGAAAUCUCGGAGCUUAACUCCGAAACUGCAUUCGAUACUGCCGUGCUUGAGGACUGGAGAGGAGACUGGAAUUUACGGUGUAGCGGUGAAAUGCGUAGAUAUCGUAAGGAAGACCAGUGGCGAAGGCGGGUCUCGUGGACAGUUCCUGACGCUGAGGCACGAAGGCCAGGGGAGCAACGGG